rnacentral:rRNA from 1 species
AACGAACGCUGGCGGCAUGCCUAACACAUGCAAGUCGAACGAGACCUUCGGUCUAGUGGCGCACGGGUGCGUAACGCGUGGGAACCUGCCCUUAGGUUCGGAAUAACUCCCCGAAAGGGGUGCUAAUACCGGAUAAUGUCUUCGGACCAAAGAUUUAUCGCCUUUGGAUGGGCCCGCGUUGGAUUAGCUAGUUGGUAGGGUAAAAGCCUACCAAGGCGACGAUCCAUAGCUGGUCUGAGAGGAUGAUCAGCCACACUGGGACUGAGACACGGCCCAGACUCCUACGGGAGGCAGCAGUGGGGAAUAUUGGACAAUGGGCGAAAGCCUGAUCCAGCAAUGCCGCGUGAGUGAUGAAGGCCUUAGGGUUGUAAAGCUCUUUUACCCGGGAUGAUAAUGACAGUACCGGGAGAAUAAGCGCCGGCUAACUCCGUG